GACGAACGCUGGCGGCGUGCCUAAUACAUGCAAGUCGAACGCUUCUUUCCUCCCGAGUGCUUGCACUCAAUUGGAAAGAGGAGUGGCGGACGGGUGAGUAACACGUGGGUAACCUACCCAUCAGAGGGGGAUAACACUUGGAAACAGGUGCUAAUACCGCAUAACAGUUUAUGCCGCAUGGCAUAAGAGUGAACGGCGCCUUCGGGUGUCGCUGAUGCAUGGACCCGCGGUGCAUUAGCUAGUUGGUGAGGUAACGGCUCACCAAGGCCACGAUGCAUAGCCGACCUGAGAGGGUGAUCGGCCACACUGGGACUGAGACACGGCCCAGACUCCUACGGGAGGCAGCAGUAGGGAAUCUUCGGCAAUGGACGGAAGUCCGACCGAGCAACGCCGCGUGAGUGAAGAAGGUUUUCGGAUCGUAAAACUCUGUUGUUAGAGAAGAACAAGGACGUUAGUAACUGAACGUCCCCUGACGGUAUCUAACCAGAAAGCCACGGCUAACUACGUGCCAGCAGCCGCCGUAA
rnacentral:rRNA from 1 species